AUUGAACGCUGGCGGCAGGCUUAACACAUGCAAGUCGAGCGGUAGCACAGGGGAGCUUGCUCCCUGGGUGACGAGCGGCGGACGGGUGAGUAAUGUCUGGGAAACUGCCUGAUGGAGGGGGAUAACUACUGGAAACGGUAGCUAAUACCGCAUAACGUCGCAAGACCAAAGAGGGGGACCUUCGGGCCUCUUGCCAUCAGAUUUGCCCAGAUGGGAUUAGCUAGUAGGUGGGGUAAUGGCUCACCUAGGCGACGAUCCCUAGCUGGUCUGAGAGGAUGACCAGCCACACUGGAACUGAGACACGGUCCAGACUCCUACGGGAGGCAGCAGUGGGGAAUAUUGCACAAUGGGCGCAAGCCUGAUGCAGCCAUGCCGCGUGUGUGAAGAAGGCCUUCGGGUUGUAAAGCACUUUCAGCGAGGAGGAAGGUGGUGAGCUUAAUACGCUCAUCAAUUGACGUUACUCGCAGAAGAAGCACCGGCUAACUCCGUG
rnacentral:rRNA from 1 species